rnacentral:rRNA from 1 species
AGUGAACGCUGGCGGUAGGCCUAACACAUGCAAGUCGAACGGCAGCACAGUAAUAGCUUGCUCUUACGGGUGGCGAGUGGCGGACGGGUGAGGAAUACAUCGGAAUCUACUUUUUCGUGGGGGAUAACGUAGGGAAACUUACGCUAAUACCGCAUACGACCUACGGGUGAAAGCAGGGGAUCUUCGGACCUUGCGCGAUUGAAUGAGCCGAUGUCGGAUUAGCUAGUUGGCGGGGUAAAGGCCCACCAAGGCGACGAUCCGUAGCUGGUCUGAGAGGAUGACCAGCCACACUGGAACUGAGACACGGUCCAGACUCCUACGGGAGGCAGCAGUGGGGAAUAUUGGACAAUGGGCGCAAGCCUGAUCCAGCCAUGCCGCGUGGGGGAAGAAGGCCUUCGGGUUGUAAAGCCCUUUUGUUGGGAAAGAAAAGCAGCAGGUUAAUACCCCGCUGUGAUGACGGUACCCAAAGAAUAAGCACCGGCUAACUUCGUG